AUUUAUGCAUGUUAAUUUCCUUGUUUGUUUCUUCUCCAAUUAGUGCAAUGAAGAUGAGGCCUAUAGGGAACAAGCUGAUGAGGAAAUGAAAAUGCAUCAGAGCUAUCGGAUCAAGGCACUUCUUUGCCGAAAAGGCUACACGUACUGCCUCAUUUGCCACCUUGAGAGCGGAGAGAAAGAGCUUCCAAAAGAUCUGAAGAUGAUAGAACAGCACAACAAAUCUGCUCACCAUUGUCCUGGGAUUAAAUGUAAGAGGACAGGUUGCUACACCAGGGCCAAGUACAGCCGUGACAUUGGUCUGCACCAGUAUGUGUGCCACAAAAUGUCCUAGGAAUUUUUUUGUUGGAGGACAAUGGAUUUGCAUAACUGCUGAAACUUAAUCAUUCGGGCUAGACUGCAGUGACAGCUCACCUGUCUGAAGAUACCACUGUUAACCUUCUAGCUUGUGCAGUAACUUUUGGUAGUGCAAAUGAUUAGUUCUCUUUGUGGUUCCUGAACCAACCCUUGAGGAUUCGUGGUUCUCUUUAUAAUGUACAUGUUACCAUGUUACGGAUCGGGAUGGGAUGGGUAAGUAGUACAUCUGCUGUUUCCAGUUUUGAAAACUGAAUGAAGUGAGAGUAAAUGUAUUGUGUCACACUUAUUUGCCUCUGAAAAUAUUACACGCCAUCAAUCUAAUGAUGAGUGAA